ACUAAGUGAGCUACUUUAAAAUAGCCCUAGAGCUAACCCGUCUCUGUUGCAAUAGAGUGGGACAAUUUUUAAGUAGAGGUGAUAAGCCUAUCGAACUUAGAGAUAGCUGGUUUUUUAAGAAAAGAAUUUUAGUUCAGCCCUAAGUUUUCUGUUACACAAAAACAAAACUAGACUUAGGAGUUAUUCAAAUAAGGCACAGCUUAUUUGAAAUAGGAUACAACCCAGAAAAAAGGGUAAGAACAAUUAAAAUUUUUAAUAAGUGGGCCUAAAAGCAGCCACCUUUAAAAAAGCGUCAAAGCUUAAUAUCAACAAUUUUCUAAUACCAUUAUUAACUUCUAACCCUUGCUUAAUAUUAAAAAACCCCAUAAUACUAUGGAAGCUAUUAUGCUAGAACAAGUAACAAGAAAAAGACUUUCUCCAAAACGUAAGCUUAAGCCAUAAUAGACAAACUAAUGGCAAUUAACGUUUAUAGAUUUUUGUAGUAACACUGACAAGAAAACCCU
rnacentral:rRNA from 1 species